GGUUCUUUCACAGGCGCUUGCUCGCUCUGCUUCAUCUUCAUCCGUCCAUGGCUUCUCUUUCUUUCAGACUGCUUCCUCGUUCUUUCUCUAUCUCCAAAUAUGAAACCCUAGGAACGUCUCUGCGUGCUUCUUCUACUGGUCCUCUCGCAAUCUCUACAACUUCGUGUCCUUCUUCAAUUCCUGCUGAGGCGAUAGGAAAACGGAGAAAGGAAAGCGGUUCAAGCACUCUUUCGGAAAUGUAUGUGCUCAUCUACUCUCUUCGUUUUCUUCUAUUCUUUUUCUGACUGUGAGUUUCUCUUUUGUCUUCGAUUUGUUCUCUUUCGUUUUUUGUUUUGAUUUCUUUUCCGGGGGGGUGGAAUGAUGAGGCAAGGCCUCGGGACAAGACGAAAGGGAGAGGGACGCCGAGAAAAAUCAAGAUCGAGAUUGAUGAGUCUCUUUUCUCUAGAUAAUCUUGGAGCAUUCUAAUUCUGUUUAUUUGAAUGUGUUUUUAAAUUCAGAAGUCUACUCGAAGGAUGGUCCCUCUCUCUCUCUCUCGCCUCCUCUUGCUUUUAACCAUUUCCGAGGAAGACUCUGAGUUUUGCUGCUUCAUAGAUAAUCUUUGCG